AGGAACUAGAGGGGCUAGAGUUUGAUGGCACAGUAGGAACUAGGUCAUACCGGUGCUUGUUGCUUAAGACUGAAUGGUUACCUUGUCUAAGUCAAACCAGUUAAAACCACCAGUUCAACAACAACUGAAGGGUCUGAACAUGAGGUCUGUGUCUCAUAGCCUCGACAGAACACAGAACAUGAGGUCUGUGUCCUUCAUGGCCUCGACAGAACAUGAGGUAUGUGUCUCAUAGCCUCGACAGAACAUCAGAACAUGAGGUCUGUGUCCUUCAUGGCAUCUGCAGCACAGACAGUCAGACAGUCGUAGAGUCUGCCCUUGACAGCUUCUAGAGUCUCCCAGGCUUCACCAGACAGCAUUAGGGCUUUUUAAUCUGGAUGUUCUUUCAGUUCCAGUCCAAUUAUCACCUGCGUCCUCGGUGGCCGGCCUAAUCCUCUCUACUUCACUCGCAGUAAACGUUUGAGCUCAUUCAUAAAAACAGCACUGGACUCGAUCCCCAUUGAUCAGGCUCAGAAACAGUCCUGGUUCAGCCCCCCAAAACAGGGCUUCCCCUUAGGGGAAAGAAGAUGUGCUUUUCCACUCUGCCUAUUGUAGUGCAAUAUUAAAGGUCUGUUUAUGAUCAAUCAAGAGGUUUCUCUGAGCUCUGGACACAUUUAGACUACAAACACACGUAUAACCAGUUGUGGAGGAAGUAUUAAAGUAUUCAACAAUAUCCAUUGUUAUAUUUGUUCUAUAGCCCUAUAGUAGUUACAUAAUUCCGUUACGAUUCGAAGAGUAUUCUCAGUAAUCAGUCACCUCUAUACGAUCUGAGCUUACAGCGCUGUGCGUUGGAGAUUCCUUGAACAUCACAUUGUGGAGACAUCGUUGUGUGCCAAGCUUUGCUAAACUUUGUCAUUUGGACUAAAUGGAUCUCUUCGAGGUGGGCUUCACCAAGUCUUUGCCUACUCUACCUACAAUCAACUAACUUGAAUUGAAUCAAGAACUACAGCUUUGGCGCUUCAUCAGAGAUUCGCCAUAGAAACGACAGACUCUUUCAGUACUGAGAACUACAUUGUGUCAUAUUACAUACUUCAGUAUACAUAUUACAUACUUAAGUAUACUUAUAACAUACUUACAUACAUACGUACAAGUAUGUAAUUACUGGUAAACACUGUGCCGAAUUACAUUACACAAGCAAAUAAAUUACUUUCAUAAGAGAGCGAAUGGCUUACCUGUAAAUGACGAUGAUCAGAAUGUAGUUAGUGAGUUUAACUCUCUCUGCUCUCUCACACUGCUCAUAAAGGUCUGAUCUGGAUCACACUGACUCUGACUGUACUACAGAUACACACACACACACACACAACAUAGGUUU
ensembl:lncRNA